rnacentral:rRNA from 1 species
AUUGAACGCUGGCGGCAUGCCUUACACAUGCAAGUCGAACGGCAGCACGGGUGCUUGCACCUGGUGGCGAGUGGCGAACGGGUGAGUAAUACAUCGGAACAUGUCCUGUAGUGGGGGAUAGCCCGGCGAAAGCCGGAUUAAUACCGCAUACGAUCUACGGAUGAAAGCGGGGGACCUUCGGGCCUCGCGCUAUAGGGUUGGCCGAUGGCUGAUUAGCUAGUUGGUGGGGUAAAGGCCUACCAAGGCGACGAUCAGUAGCUGGUCUGAGAGGACGACCAGCCACACUGGGACUGAGACACGGCCCAGACUCCUACGGGAGGCAGCAGUGGGGAAUUUUGGACAAUGGGCGAAAGCCUGAUCCAGCAAUGCCGCGUGUGUGAAGAAGGCCUUCGGGUUGUAAAGCACUUUUGUCCGGAAAGAAAUCCUUGGCCCUAAUACGGUCAGGGGAUGACG